UACGAAGGGUGCAAGCGUUACUCGGAAUUACUGGGCGUAAAGCGUGCGUAGGUGGUUUGUUAAGUCUGAUGUGAAAGCCCUGGGCUCAACCUGGGAAUGGCAUUGGAUACUGGCGAGCUAGAGUGCGGUAGAGGGUAGUGGAAUUCCCGGUGUAGCAGUGAAAUGCGUAGAUAUCAAGAGGAACACCAGUGGCGAAGGCGAGUCCCUGGACGAUACCUGACACUGAGGCACGAAAGCUAGGGGAGCAAACAGG
rnacentral:rRNA from 1 species